AUGCUUACUUUGGCAGCACAUAUACUAAAAUUGGAACAAUACAGAAAAGAUUAGCAUGGGCUGUGUGAAAGAAUGAUAUGCAAAUUUGUGAAGCAUUCUAUUAUUUU